GUCUUUGAAGUCAUUUCCCUUAUAGAUAUACCCAUAUGUCUAGGACUGUAUCGAGUGCUGUGGAUGAGAAGUCUGAUGCCACUUUGAUCAUUCCUCUGUUUUCUGUGAAAGAGAACUUGUGGCAAAAAUCCGCUAACAAAUUACAUACGUGUUGGAAGAAUGCUUUCUGCCAUUUCUGGGUGGAGAGGGUUAACAGGUGGAACCACACUGAGGCCUGUAUGACUAGGAUGCCGUUACAGUAAAUGAGCCUCUUACAGGUGAGAUUCAAGCCCUGUCAUGUGAAUAUUCUCAACUUUUCUCCUCUCAAACUAUCCUGAAGAAAAGAAGGCAUCAAGCUGACAAGCUUGGCCCCCAAACAAAUCCUUAGUAACCAGAAGAGAUUGGUAAUUCCAAUUAAAUUGUGAUGCCUGAUAAUCACAUUUUGCUCAUGUUCAGCCUUCUAUGGCUUCAUAGAGGAUUGAAAAUAGUUGGAGAAGAGUGGUACAAAAAACUAAUUCACUAACACUUCCAUAAAUUGGGCUACACGUUUGGUAAUCAUAUAACAAAAUAUAUUACAAAUGGAUACAAGUGUCUUCUUCCCAGUAGAGUACAGUGUACGCACCAGGAUGCCCAAUCUUAGUGCACAGUAGUGCUAGUGUGAGCGCCCAGCCAGAAAAGUGACCAUGCCAUCAUGAGGAGGCAUCUCUUGUAGCUUUGUGGGCAUCAGGCUUCAGCAACAGUUGUGAUUUCGGUUGGACACAGCAGUGGUGGAAUUCAAGAAGAUGCCACAAGGUUCUCCCUGGGCUGCUGAGAUCUCAGUAUGCAAACUCAUUAAAGAAGGCUGAAAUAGAAGGGGAUUGAUCGCCCCCGCACCCAUGCACAAACACAAGGGACCAUGAAUGACUCAUCCAGUAAAUGUCAUUUCCUCCUUUCCUUCCCUCUAGCAGAGUGCCUUGCACAGUGUGUACUCAAUAUAUAUUGGCUGACUGGAAGGUGUAUUCAAAGCACUUAUGUCCAACCAAAAACUUUUGUUUCCAUUUUUCAGAGCUUUAUCUGUAUAUUCAUUAGGAUAGAAAGAUUUAACAUUAUCUCGUAUAAUUUUAAAUUUAUCCCCAAAUGUUAAAAAAAAUUGUCCCUUUCUUUAAAAAGUGAGAUUACACAUAAACAAAAUAGGUAUUGAUGUUAUCAAAAUGAGAAAGCAUCGUGUCAUUGUCCUAAAGCUUGACAGUUUGUCAACGGCACCUAAGGCUGCUCAGUAGCUAAGUCCCUUCUUUUUGCUUCAGAAGCUCUCUGUGGAGUCAGGCUGCCAUUAGACACCAAAGGCUGAAUUCAGCUUAGCAGAAAAGAUGAAGUGGUGACCGAGGUUUGAGUUAUCUCUCAAAUUGGUGUAACUGAAACUCUCUCGUAUUCCCAGAGUGUGCCUGCUGUCUCCCUUAAUAGACUAAACAUAUGUGUCUUUUCAAUCACUUAGGAAAAGAUGUUAUGAAAUAACUAUGGUCAUAAAUGGGCCAUAGAUGGUCUUAACAUAAUAUCAUAAUCCAUUCAUAAUUUCUAAUUGACUUUCAAAUGCAUCACAGUUAGCUAAGAUAUUUAUUUU
rnacentral:lncRNA from 1 species